CCCCCGCCGACCCCGCCGGGCCGCGGACCCCACCCCGGCCGGGUGCCUGGGGCUCCCGCGUGCUCAUUCGGCAGCAGCGCCGGCUUCCGUCCGUUUGCUCACCGCCGGGCGUUUGGGGGUGCCGGCUACGUGCAGAGCCGUGUCUCAUGGCUUCUCCCGGCGACCCUACGAAGAAGGUUCCCUGACUUUCGGGGGAAGAAGCUAAGCACAGUGCGGUAGGUAACCUGCCCCAGGUGGCCCAUCCAGUGCUGGAAGCCAGAAGGUUCAACUCCCAGCCCAUGCCCUUUUCCAAAAGCAAAACAAACCAAAGAAAAGCAUCCGGGAAGGGGAGUUUGUUCCUAGCUGCGAAUGGAAAAGGCUGGCCGAAGACGCACGAACUGACGGGUGGACUUCCUUCGGCCCAGAGUGCAGGAAAGGCUCCCGCUCACAGAACCUUCCAUUCCCAUCAAGACUCUCCCCAUCUGUGCCGCUUCUGCUUAAACAUUGUUGGGGCUUGUGACUCCUCCGGCCAAUAGAGUGUGGCAGAAGAGAUGUCAUGUGACUUCCAAGGCUGCACCACAAGAAGGGUUCAGCUCUCUGGAAAGGGUCCUGUUGGAACUAGGCUGCCUCACCACUAGGCUCGUGAGGAAGCAGGCGGGGUGAGAGGCCACCUGCGUGUUCUGGCUGGUGGUCCCGCUGAGGUCUCAGGCAACAGCCGGCCUCGACUGCCAGGCACGAGUGAGCCCUGAGAUGUGUGUCCUGGGAAGGGUGGUGAGUGGGGCUGAGGUGAGCUGGCCCCACAGUCUGGGCCAAGUUGCAGAUUUAUGAGCAAAACAAAUGUUACCAUUGUAUUAAGCCGCUACCUUUUAGGGUUCCCUGUUAUGCAGCCCUAGUGACUGCAACAGUAAUUUUUGUGUAAUAAGGAGUCCCAUUUGAGAAAUGAAUAAAUGAUACAGACAGUGGUG